rnacentral:rRNA from 1 species
UACCGCCUACGGGGCGCAGCAGGGAAUAUUGGGCAAUGGGCGCAAGCCUGACCCAGCAACGCCGCGUGAAGGAAGAAGGCUCUCGGGUUGUAAACUUCUUUUAUCAGGGACGAAGCAAGUGACGGUACCUGAUGAAUAAGCCACGGCUAACUACGUGCCAGCAGCCGCGGUAAUACGUAGGUGGCAAGCGUUAUCCGGAUUUACUGGGUGUAAAGGGCGUGUAGGCGGGAAAGCAAGUCAGAUGUGAAAACCAUGGGCUCAACCUGUGGCCUGCAUUUGAAACUGUUUUUCUUGAGUACUGGAGG